UACGUAGGGUGCGAGCGUUGUCCGGAAUUAUUGGGCGUAAAGAGCUUGUAGGCGGUUUGUCGCGUCUGCCGUGAAAAUUCGAGGCUCAACCUCGAACUUGCGGUGGGUACGGGCAGACUAGAGUGUGGUAGGGGAGACUGGAAUUCCAGGUGUAGCGGUGAAAUUCGUAGAUAUUGGGAAGAACACCGGUGGCGAAGGCAGCUUACUAAGGAGUAACUGACGCUGAGGCACGAAAGUGUGGGGAUCAAACAGG
rnacentral:rRNA from 1 species